rnacentral:sRNA from 1 species
CCCUAGCCCAGAUAGCAGCAAAAAUCCUUUUAUUUUUUUUGGAUUUGCGAGGAACGAAGCAAUCUAAAAAAAGAAAAGAUUGUAGCGAAUAGCUGGAAAUAGC